CUUUAUCUUGCUAAGCGCUCUGGGCCUGGCCCUGAUCACCUCUGCAAACUUCUCAGGGCAAAAUCUCCAAAAAUCUUGCCAGAUAUUCUGAAGAAAAUCGGGGACACCCCUAUGGUCAGAAUCAACAAGAUUGGGAAGAAGUUCGGCCUGAAGUGUGAGCUCCUGGCCAAGUGUGAGUUCUUCAACGCGGGCGGGAGCGUGAAGGACCGCAUCAGCCUGCGGAUGAUUGAGGAUGCUGAGCGCGACGGGACGCUGAAGCCCGGGGACACAAUUAUCGAGCCGACAUCCGGGAACACCGGGAUCGGGCUGGCCCUGGCUGCGGCAGUGAGGGGCUAUCGCUGCAUCAUCGUGAUGCCAGAGAAGAUGAGCUCCGAGAAGGUGGACGUGCUGCGGGCACUGGGGGCUGAGAUUGUGAGGACGCCCACCAAUGCCAGGUUCGACUCCCCGGAGUCACACGUGGGGGUGGCCUGGCGGCUGAAGAACGAAAUCCCCAAUUCUCACAUCCUAGACCAGUACCGCAACGCCAGCAACCCCCUGGCUCACUACGACACCACCGCUGAUGAGAUCCUGCAGCAGUGUGAUGG
rnacentral:sRNA from 1 species